rnacentral:misc_RNA from 2 species
CCGAGUGAGGGCCCUCUGGGUCCAACCUCCCACCCGUGUUUAUUAUACCUUGUUGCUUCGGCGGGCCCGCCGUAUGGCCGCCGGGGGGCUUCUGCCCCCGGGCCCGCGCCCGCCGAAGACAUCUCGAACUCUGUCUGAAGAUUGUAGUCUGAGUAAAAAUAUAAAUUAUUUA